GGUUCAGUGCAAUAUGGCGUGUCUUCUACAGAAUUAUAACUCCAUAAUCAAUUUACCUUUGGGAGUUUGUUCACAGUACUGAGGGGAAGAAAACUUUGUAAUGAGCGCAGAAGACCUCACACUUCACAGUGGCCACAAAGAUGAAAUUUUGACGGUUGCCUACAGGAUUGGGGAUAGGUACCUCUGUGUUAAAAUAGACUGACAAGCUAGCUGGCAGUGAUAUGGACUAGUAUUUGCCAACACGCUUAUGUAAUGUGCGGAAGCAAAGUAUCACUGCGUAACCAGUUAGCUACUGGACAUGAAUUCUUUCAUAAGGACACAUUCAUAGCAUGAAACAGUUUUCGUAAUCUGGCACCACGGUCUUGAAUGCUAAAGUUGUUUUUGAAAGCUAUUAAUAGAGCAGAUGAUUCUUUUGUGCAUUUCAAGUCCUGACUCUAAAGUGUUCUGUACACCAGGCAGCAGACAGAAAAAAAGAUCUUUCUAUAAAUACCACUCUCUGCUUGAAAGGCCACCUUCUGUAAGACAGUAAAAAAAAAUGGUAGGAGCAGGAACUCACAGAUACAAACGAGAGAGGAGGGAACUUGCUUCCAGAAAGUUUGUAAUUUUGAGGAAAAUAAUCCUCAUGGUCCCAUCAAGAAGAAUAAAAAGCAAGUUUUCUAAGAGUAAAACAUCUGGAUACAAUUUGUCAUUGUUUGGGACUUCUUUGAGGGUUGAAUCUAGACAUAGUGUUAAUUGUGUGAAUGCAAUUAAUGUGCACGUUUUUUAUCUCCAAGUUGAAGCUUCUCUAGAAAUGUGAACAACAGCUUCAGAUAUGUGAUUUUUGUCAGAUCUGGUAGGGGGAAAGUAUGAAACUCUCCCCUCCCCCAUGAUGCCUUUGGCUACUCAAGCUUUGCUAUGACUGCUAUUUACAUAACCCAAAGUGUGCAAGUUAAUUGCUUUCAAACAUUUAACAUCAUAUCUAAUUUAGCCCUGAUGGUAUCUUAUGAGAAGGAAAACACUGGGAAAAUAUGGGCAUGUAUUCCUUAUGUUGUUAACUAGCAUUUUGGUCCUCCAAAAUCUCUAAAACCAGGUGUUGAAAAUAAUGCUAAAACUUUUUUUAAAAAAACCUAGUUUCAUGUUUUGCACAAAUUUCUUUGACGGAAUUGUCCACGUUAAAGUGUUUUGGGCAGGAAAAAAUUUAGAACUCAUUGACAAGUCAGAAGAGUAAUAAGGACAGAAUCUGUAUUCUAGGUACAACUGUUAGAUGUGAUAAGCCAAUAAGUCUCUUCCCUUUUGUAACUGAAAUGCUUAUGGCUUCCAAAGGUGGCCUCAUACUUUGCAUGAAGAUUGAGAAUACCAUGGCUUGACUGAGUUGCACCUGGGUGUUUUCAGAAUACACACUUAUCGCUUCCAUUGUACAUGUUUGCUACAGGUAAGUUAGAUGGUAGGGAUGGGGAAUUGUUUUCAACCCAAGAGCUGUAUUCCCUUCUAGGCAACCUUCCAGAGGCCAUGUGCCAGUGGUAGGCAGGGCCAGAGACAAACACAGUGAGAGCAUUAGAUGCAAAUUUUACUUUCAUACCAUAGGUUAGCAUCUACAUAAACUCACAUACCUCUCUGUAUCCACUCAGAGAAGCAAGAGACAUUAUAAGAAUUCAAGGACAC